AGACACAUCACUACUGGAUUCUGCUCCCUGUGCUGAGUUUGUUUCUCCUCGUCUUCUAAAGACUCUGAAGUUCUCUGGUUCAAAUCUCAUGACUGGCGACGUCUUGUUCCUCUUCCUACAAGUCUGUGCUGCGUAACCUGUCCCCCCUCUAACAAUGUUACCAUCCAGCAGCCUCCACCAGACCCCUCCACAGAUCCCCGGCUCCCAGCUUUACACAACUCUGGAUCAGCUGAGUCUUCUUAACAUGGCCACCUCUCUCUCAGCAUGUGAUCAAACUAGAUGUGAAACUCUGUUUGCUGCACCAAGCAACCCUGAACCACCAGAGCAACACGGCGCCUCGGUCGGUGAUCAGUAUCAGUUUGAGAAAGUACAACAUGAAGUGGAUUACUCUUUAUCUCCUAACACUCUGCUUCCCUACGACCAGAGCUGACUGUAUCUCUCAGAAUGUUACUGAUGAGUGUAUAAAACAAGAUCUUGUAAAGUGGACCAGGUGCUAUGAAGAUAAAAUUGUAAAGUGUGAAGAAAAGCAGCAUAACUGCUCCCAGCUAUUUUGCAGGAUGGUGAAAUCAUCAGACCAGGU